rnacentral:rRNA from 3 species
GCGUACCUUUUGUAUAAUGGGUCAGCGACUUAUAUUCUGUAGCAAGGUUAACCGAAUAGGGGAGCCGGAGGGAAACCGAGUCUUAAUUGGGCGUUAAGUUGCAGGGUAUAGACCCGAAACCCGGUGAUCUAGCCAUGGGCAGGUUGAAGGUUGGGUAACACUAACUGGAGGACCGAACCGACUAAUGUUGAAAAAUUAGCGGAUGACCUGUGGCUGGGGGUGAAAGGCCAAUCAAACCGGGAGAUAGCUGGUUCUCCCCGAAAGCUAUUUAGGUAGCGCCUCGUGAAUUCAUCUCCGGGGGUAGAGCACUGUUUCGGCUAGGGGGCCAUCCCGGCUUACCAACCCGAUGCAAACUGCGAAUACCGGAGAAUGUUAUCACGGGAGACACACGGCGGGUGCUAACGUCCGUCGUGAAGAGGGAAACAACCCAGACCGCCAGCUAAGGUCCCAAAGUCAUGGUUAAGUGGGAAACGAUGUGGGAAGGCCCAGACAGCCAGGAUGUUGGCUUAGAAGCAGCCAUCAUUUAAAGAAAGCGUAAUAGCUCACUGGUCGAGUCGGCCUGCGCGGAAGAUGUAACGGGGCUAAACCAUGCACCGAAGCUGCGGCAGCGAACGUAUCACCCAAGACAACUUUACGGAGUUGACGAUUGACGGAGCGAAGCGACGUCAAAGCGUUCAUUAAAGUCGAGUUGGCUUAGGGAUACGUUCGUUGGGUAGGGGAGCGUUCUGUAAGCCUGUGAAGGUGUGUCGUGAGGCAUGCUGGAGGUAUCAGAAGUGCGAAUGCUGACAUAAGUAACGAUAAAGCGGGUGAAAAGCCCGCUCGCCGGAAGACCAAGGGUUCCUGUCCAACGUUAAUCGGGGCAGGGUGAGUCGACCCCUAAGGCGAGGCCGAAAGGCGUAGUCGAUGGGAAACGGGUUAAUAUUCCCGUACUUGGUGUUACUGCGAAGGGGGGACGGAGAAGGCUAUGUUGGCCGGGCGACGGUUGUCCCGGUUUAAGCGUGUAGGUGUGUGUUCCAGGUAAAUCCGGUUCACUUUAACACUGAGGCGUGACGACGAGGCACUACGGUGCUGAAGCAACAAAUGCCCUGCUUCCAGGAAAAGCCUCUAAGCAUCAGGUAACACGAAAUCGUACCCCAAACCGACACAGGUGGUCAGGUAGAGAAUACCAAGGCGCUUGAGAGAACUCGGGUGAAGGAACUAGGCAAAAUGGUGCCGUAACUUCGGGAGAAGGCACGCUGACACGUAGGUGAAGUGAUUUACUCAUGGAGCUGAAGUCAGUCGAAGAUACCAGCUGGCUGCAACUGUUUAUUAAAAACACAGCACUGUGCAAACACGAAAGUGGACGUAUACGGUGUGACGCCUGCCCGGUGCCGGAA